GCUUCGGUAGCUUAGUGGUUAGAGCGUCCGCCUCAAAUGCGUGAGGUCGUGGGUUCGAACCCCAGCCGAGUCA